GCCGGAGUGGCCGAGCGGUUCUAGGCGCGCGGUCUGGAACCGCGCGGCCGCUACGGUCGCAGGUUCGAAUCCUGCCUCGGGCA
rnacentral:tRNA from 1 species